rnacentral:rRNA from 1 species
AUGCAAGUCGCACGAGAAUCGUAGCAAUACGAGGACAGUGGCGGAAGGGAGAGGAAUAGGUAGAAAUCUACCCUCGGGACGGGGAUAGCGGCGGGAAACUGCCGGUAAUACCCGAUAACAUCUUCGGAUCAAAGGUGUGAUUCCGCCUGGGGAUGAGUCUACUUCCUAUUAGCUUGUUGGCGGGGUAAUGGCCCACCAAGGCAACGAUGGGUAGCGGGUGUGAGAGCAUGACCCGCCUCACUGGGACUGAGAACUGCCCAGGCACCUACGGGUGGCUGCAGUCGAGAAUCUUCGGCAAUGGGCGCAAGCCUGACCGAGCGACGCCGCGUGCGGGAUGAAGGCCCUCGGGUUGUAAACCGCUGUCGUAGGGGAACAAAUUUAUGGGGGUUCUCCCCUGUAAUUGAGUGAUCCUAGGAGGAAGGACGGGCUAAGUUCGUGCCAGCAGCCGCGGUAAGACGAACCGUCCGAACGUUAUUCGGUAUCACUGGGCUUAAAGAGUUCGUAGGCGGCCUUGCAGGUGAGGUGUGAAAGCCCUCGGCUCAACCGGGGAACUGCGCUUCAAACCGCAAGGCUGGAGGGAGAUAGAGGUGAGCGGAACAGAUGGUGGAGCGGUGAAAUGCGUUGAUAUCAUCUGGAACACCGGUGGCGAAAGCGGCUCACUGGAUCUUUUCUGACGCUGAGGAACGAAAGCUAGGGUAGCGAACGGGAUUAGAUACCCCGGUAGUCCUAGCCGUAAACGAUGAGCACUAGCCCGUGGGGACUCUCACAUCCUCUCGGGCGUAGCGAAAGUGUUAAGUGCUCCGCCUGGGGAGUAUGGUCGCAAGGCUGAAACUCAAA